AUUGAACGCUGGCGGCAGGCUUAACACAUGCAAGUCGAACGAGUGGCGGACGGGUGAGUAAUGCUUGGGAAUCUAGCUUAUGGAGGGGGAUAACUACGGGAAACUGUAGCUAAUACCGCGUACCACAGGAUGAGCCUAAGUGGGAUUAGGCAGUUGUGGAGUUAAAGGCUCACCAAGCCGACGAUCUCCAGCUGGUCUGAGAGGAUGACCAGCCACACUGGGACUGGGACACGGCCCAGACUCCUACGGGAGGCAGAAGUGGGGAAUAUUGCGCAAUGGGGGCAACCUGACGCAGCCAUGCCGCGUGAGUGAAGAAGGCCUGCGGGUUGUAAAGUUCUUUCGGUAGCGAGGCGUUAACUACAGAAGAAGCACCGGCUAACUCCGUGCCAGGCACCGCGGUAAUAC
rnacentral:rRNA from 1 species